GAUCCUUACUCGCCCGAUUUGGAGAAGCAUCGACCCGCCGUGUUUUACCUAGUUCUCUGUGUAGGAGUGUUGAAACGCGACGAAAUUUGGCGUGCUAGAUUCGCGACUUCGAGACGAAGAUUCUGAGCCCAAGAUCGCAAUUUUUGGAGCAGGUUCCAGCGUCGACGUUUCGUAUUCUGGCCCGUUCUCUGCGUAGAAGCGUCGGAAUUCAGCGAAACCUGGGCCAUUGGAUUCGUGACUUCGAGACGAAGCUUCAGAACCU